GGGCGGGUAGCUCAGUUGGGAGAGCGCAGCCCUUACAAGGCUGAGGUCACAGGUUCGAUCCCUGUUCCGCCUACCA
rnacentral:tRNA from 3 species